GACGAACGCUGGCGGCGUGCUUAACACAUGCAAGUCGAACGGAAAGGCCCUGCUUUUGUGGGGUGCUCGAGUGGCGAACGGGUGAGUAACACGUGAGUAACCUGCCCUUGACGUUGGGAUAACUUCAGGAAACUGGGGCUAAUACCGGAUAGGAGCUCCUGCUGCAUGGUGGGGGUUGGAAAGUUUCGGCGGUUGGGGAUGGACUCGCGGCUUAUCAGCUUGUUGGUGGGGUAGUGGCUUACCAAGGCUUUGACGGGUAGCCGGCCUGAGAGGGUGACCGGCCACAUUGGGACUGAGAUACGGCCCAGACUCCUACGGGAGGCAGCAGUGGGGAAUAUUGCACAAUGGGCGGAAGCCUGAUGCAGCAACGCCGCGUGCGGGAUGACGGCCUUCGUGUUGUAAACCGCUUUCGCCUGUGACGAAGCGUGAGUGACGGUAAUGGGUAAAGAAGCACCGGCUAACUACGUG
rnacentral:rRNA from 1 species